CAUCACUUCGUGGCAGCCUCAAGUUCCACAAUUCUGGGUCUUAGUGCUGACACAAGGCCAUCACCAUCCAUCACUGCCACUCAGCAGCCUUUGGGUUGGAGUAUCUUGGCUGACACUAGGUAUUUUCUUUGGAGUCUCAUUAGAUCAUACUGAAAUGAGGACUUGCUUUUCAUCCUGUGACUAUAUAUGGGGGACUGCUAUCCCAUCAUCCAAGAGACCAUGAGGAAAACAAGGAUUUCAUGUGCACCCUUCUUCAAACCAAAGAACUGGGAUAACUGACAAGGAGUUCCUAUAGGAACAGAAAAGCUGCCUCCAAAUCUUGUCAAUGUUUAGGCAACAUUCAAAGACAAAGAAAGAAGCCAUCUUCUCAUUUCACAUGAGGGGAACCAGUGCAGAGAGAAAGGGGUACCAGGUUUAAUGUUUGGUAAGAUGGAACUAUGUAAACAAUGCUAGCUAAGGAGGACUUGUCUGCAUAAAUAUAAUACAUAGACCCUGUUGGCACAGAGACAAUAUGAUGUAUUAAAAUUACAUCUGUUUUAUUAAAACUGU